rnacentral:sRNA from 1 species
UCAUGUAUCUCCGCGUACGAUGGCCAAAC